ACAACGAAGAGUUUGAUCCUGGCUCAGGAUAAACGCUAGCGGCAGGCCUAACACAUGCAAGUCGAGCGGCAGC
rnacentral:rRNA from 1 species